rnacentral:rRNA from 1 species
UACAGAGGUCCCAAGCGUUGUUCGGAUUCAUUGGGCGUAAAGGGUGCGUAGGUGGCGCUGUAAGUCGGGUGUGAAAUUUCGGAGCUUAACUCCGAAACUGCAUUCGAUACUGCGGUGCUUGAGGACUGGAGAGGAGACUGGAAUUCAUGGUGUAGCAGUGAAAUGCGUAGAUAUCAUGAGGAAGACCAGUGGCGAAGGCGGAUCUCUGGACAGUUCCUGACACUGAGGCACGAAGGCCAGGGGAGCAAACGGG